rnacentral:rRNA from 1 species
UGGGGAAUAUUGGACAAUGGGCGAAAGCCUGAUCCAGCCAUGCCGCGUGUGUGAAGAAGGUCCUCGGAUUGUAAAGCACUUUAAGUUGGGAGGAAGGGCAGUAAGCGAAUACCUUGCUGUUUUGACGUUACCGACAGAAUAAGCACCGGCUAACUCUGUGCCAGCAGCCGCGGUAAUACAGAGGGUGCAAGCGUUAAUCGGAUUUACUGGGCGUAAAGCGUGCGUAGGCGGCUAAUUGAGUCGGAUGUGAAAUCCCCGAGCUUAACUUGGGAAUUGCAUUCGAUACUGGUUAGCUAGAGUGUGGGAGAGGAUGGUAGAAUUCCAGGUGUAGCGGUGAAAUGCGUAGAGAUCUGGAGGAAUACCGAUGGCGAAGGCAGCCAUCUGGCCUAACACUGACGCUGAGGUACGAAAGCAUGGGGAGCAAACAGG